rnacentral:rRNA from 1 species
AGAGCGAACGCUGGCGGCAGGCCUAACACAUGCAAGUCGAGCGCCCGUAGCAAUACGGGAGCGGCAGACGGGAUAGUAACACGUGGGAACGCGCCCUUCGGUUCGGAAUAACUCAGGGAAACUUGAGCUAAUACCGAAUACGCCCUUACGGGGAAAGAUUUAUUGCCGAAGGAACGGCCCGCGUCCGAUUAGCUAGUUGGUGAGGUAAUGGCUCACCAAGGCUACGAUCGGUAGCUGGUCUGAGAGGAUGACCAGCAUCACUGGGACUGAGACACGGCCCAGACUCCUACGGGAGGCAGCAGUGGGGAAUAUUGGACAAUGGGCGAAAGCCUGAUCCAGCCAUGCCGCGUGGAUGAUGAAGGCCUUAGGGUUGUAAAGUCCUUUUAACGGGGAAGAUAAUGACGGUACCCGUAGAAUAAGCCCGGCUAACUUCGUGCCAGCAGCCGC